UACGGGGGGAGCAAGCGUUGUUCGGAUUUACUGGGCGUAAAGCGCGCGUAGGCGGCCCGGUAAGUCCGCUGUGAAAGUCAAAGGCUCAACCUUUGAAUGUCAGCGGAUACUGCCGGGCUAGAGUCCGGAAGAGGCGAGUGGAAUUCCUGGUGUAGCGGUGAAAUGCGCAGAUAUCAGGAGGAACACCGAUUGCGAAGGCAGCUCGCUGGGACGUAACUGACGCUGAGACGCGAAAGCGUGGGGAGCAAACAGG
rnacentral:rRNA from 1 species